CAGAAACGAUUUGUGCCUCGCUUGCGGAUUAAGGAGAAAGUUCUUCAGCAUCUCUCCGGAGUGCUGGUGAAACCAUCUGCCAGAGCAGCCUCUCCUGAACUGGAAGGUCAGUCAAUAACAGAGUAGAGGUUCAUACCUCAAGCUCCCAAAACCUGCAUAACAAAGCAACAUAAACAAAUCAGCAGCUGGGCUCCUUCCCCUCUCCUCCCUCCACAGAAAGUAAGCAGAUCUUUUCCCAACUAGCAGGAAGAUGAUGUGAAAUAAUUAUGAUGUCUGCAAUCGAGGAACGAGGGAAAAAACCCCACCAAUUACCACAGCAAGGUAUUUCAUGUGUUGUCUUUUUGGGGAAACUUUACAUUUUUAGAUAAUGUUGCCUAAUUGGAACCUGGCUGUCACUGAGCAGCUCUGCACAGAAAAGUAAAUACUAAAGGCAACACAAUGUCCUGGUGUCCCAGGGUGAGAGGACCCAACAGCCAGGGUGGGAAGGUGUUUCUGCGAAGCUGAGGGUCACAGAGCUGUGACGUGGCACCACUCUGGUGCUUUGCUCAUUUCAGGGUUGCCUUUUUCCAUUUGUCCUUCCAUUACUCCUCAUAAAAAUUUAUCUUUGCAGAGAGAUGGCGAUGCGCUCCAGGUCUCCGGUGAUGCCCUGCUGCAGCCAAACCUCCUGCCUUGGCACAAAGGGAAUUGGGGCCUUUAAAAGCACAUGUAGGAAAUGUGAUUAUAUCUCAUUUGGCUGAAGAAUGAAACGUACUGCAAGAGCUACACACACACACUUCUGUUCUCGUGCCAUCGUUGCCCACAGGCCCAGGGCUUUGAACCACACCACCCUGAGACCCCACGUCAAGAAGGACAGGGAACUGCAGGAGAAGAUUAAAGCAGAUCAUCAUCAUCUUCAUCAUCAUCGUCACAUGUGUUCGUGCAGGCAAGAGAACAACUCAUCUCUGAAUUUUGAGUGGGGUCAGCGCUCUUUCCACAACCUGAGACCCUCCAAAAUUUUGCCUGGACUGAGAUGACCACCCCCCCACAUACCCCCUGGGCAAGCUCAGCAGGGUCUCAGCCGCUUGCCUCCCAACCAGCUUAACCAGUAAGCAGAUUAUGGGUGGGCUUGGAGAGUCUCUGAUUGCUUAACCCAAGGAGAGCCUCUCUGGAUUUGACACUCCAGGCCCCACGUUGAUGUGGGAGACCCCAGGGACCACCACAUCCUUGAUGAGACGGUGCUCGACCAUCAUCUGCCAGAGCAGAUGGUUAAGAGGGAAAAGUCCCACGUCAUUAGUGUGCCAGCUGGCUCAGAAAUGAUGAAAGCCACUCUAAACCCACACGUGUUUCAUCAUCACUCAUGGUAGAGAGGAAAAGGCAGGUGAACCAUGUACCUGUCAGCAAAUAAUUCACCCCAACUUGUGUGUAUGAGGAAAUGCCUGUUGAAUGCAAAGAUGUUUUUUUCAGCAGCAAGAAUGACGUUCAAAACACCAUGCAAAAUCUAUUUUAUUUUUUUUUUAGGAUAGGUGAUAUUAAUUUUUUAAUUCUGUUUUAACUAUAUUUAUUUUUUAGCCUGGGUGACAGCACUAGGAUGACUAGAAGUAGUUUUAGCAGGAAGGCAAGCUUUGGGUGACCUCUCUUGUCCUCUUGCAGGCAUCCAGUCACCUUCUCAGAGGGGUAAUGCGAAUUCAAGACGAGCGACGCACCGAGAAGGCACAGGCAGUGAUAUUUCACUUCCCAAGUCAGCAUCAUCAUUUAUGGAAAACUUUAUGAAGGGAGUUGGCCAGUGGAGAAGAAGCCACUUGCUCCAUUGCUUGAUCCACCCUCCCAACACCCACAGCGGGUGAAACACCGUUUGAGCAGAAAGGUUUGUGAGCAUUGUCCAUCUAAAUGGGGGUGUUUGGUGGUUGUUUUUUUUUUUUCCCCUAUGAUCUUGUGUCAACAAAGACCUGAUUAUGUUCUUACCUGAUCUCUGUUUAGCAGGAAACAUUUUUAAAGGUUAUGGUUGCUGGUGCCGGUGUUAUUUCUGCUGAGCACUGUGCCUCUCCUGCUGCUGCACCCCCAGCAAUCUCCCCAAAAAGAAGGUCAUUCCCUGAUUGUUUCUAGUUCGGUAAUUAACUGUGGUAACAAGCCAUGGACCACGGUGGUAUUUACAGAGGUAGUCAGAAGGAGGAGAUUAAUUAAAGGUCAUUUUGACCUUAGUGCUUUAUUAUUCCCUAAUAUUAGAUAUUUAUGCCCUUACUUAGACCGCCUUGGGUUUAUUUGAUGGAGAGAAUGAUACAGGGGGCCUAUUCAUGAACAGUCUUUGAGACACAUACACAUCAGUUAAAACAAAUAUUGAAUAUUUUCUGAACUUACAUUUUUUGUGACCGAUGUAAUGUAAACCUGCAGCUUUGGAGAAAGAGCUGCUUCCCCGGAGAAACCACCCCUGGGGAGGCAGGAGCCUCCUGUAAACUCCUUUACAACCCAUCUACAACUUGUUUAAUAUGGCAUUUAUUUAUUUUUUUUAAAUGCAUGUGCUAAGUAUUUCACUCUGCCUAUCACUAUUAAUCUGCAUUCCAGCUUGUCUUUAAUCAAUUUCUAGGCAAAGUAGGGAUGAAAACGGGAUUUUACCUACCCCUGAUGAAAGCAUCUGCCAAGGAACAGGAAAGAAAUAAGCGCAAGAGACUUGUUAAUAAACCAGUAAAAACAUCCA
rnacentral:lncRNA from 1 species